rnacentral:tRNA from 3 species
GCAUCGUUAACUCAAUUGGCAGAGUAGCGGACCUUUAAUCCGUUGGUUCUGAGUUCGAAUCUCAGACGGUGUA